GACGAACGCUGGCGGCGUGCUUAACACAUGCAAGUCGAACGGAAAGGCCCUGCUUUUGUGGGGUGCUCGAGUGGCGAACGGGUGAGUAACACGUGAGUAACCUGCCCUUGACUUUGGGAUAACUUCAGGAAACUGGGGCUAAUACCGGAUAGGAGCUCCUGCUGCAUGGUGGGGGUUGGAAAGUUUCGGCGGUUGGGGAUGGACUCGCGGCUUAUCAGCUUGUUGGUGGGGUAGUGGCUUACCAAGGCUUUGACGGGUAGCCGGCCUGGGAGGGUGACCGGAAACAGGGGAAGAGGGAAAGGGCCAGAACACAAAGGGGGGGAAGGAGGGGGGAAAAAAGAAAAAGGGGGGGAAGCAAGAGGAAGAAAGGCGGGGGGGGGGAAAAGGGCCUGGGGGUGGAAAAACGAUUUGGCCGGGAAAGAAGGGGAAGGAAGGGAAAGGGGAAAAAAAGAACCGGCAAACAAGGU
rnacentral:rRNA from 1 species